rnacentral:rRNA from 1 species
CGAGUGGCGAACGGGUGAGUAAUAUAUCGGAACGUACCCUAGAGUGGGGGAUAACGUAGCGAAAGUUACGCUAAUACCGCAUACGAUCUAAGGAUGAAAGUGGGGGAUCGCAAGACCUCAUGCUCGUGGAGCGGCCGAUAUCUGAUUAGCUAGUUGGUAGGGUAAAAGCCUACCAAGGCAUCGAUCAGUAGCUGGUCUGAGAGGACGACCAGCCACACUGGAACUGAGACACGGUCCAGACUCCUACGGGAGGCAGCAGUGGGGAAUUUUGGACAAUGGGCGAAAGCCUGAUCCAGCAAUGCCGCGUGAGUGAAGAAGGCCUUCGGGUUGUAAAGCUCUUUUGUCAGGGAAGAAACGGUGAGAGCUAAUAUCUCUUGCUAAUGACGGUACCUGAAGAAUAAGCACCGGCUAACUACGUGCCAGCAGCCGCGGUAAUACGUAGGGUGCAAGCGUUAAUCGGAAUUACUGGGCGUAAAGCGUGCGCAGGCGGUUUUGUAAGUCUGAUGUGAAAUCCCCGGGCUCAACCUGGGAAUUGCAUUGGAGACUGCAAGGCUAGAAUCUGGCAGAGGGGGGUAGAAUUCCACGUGUAGCAGUGAAAUGCGUAGAUAUGU